AGGGUUUCAUGGAAUCUCACCUGACGAAGACGAAGACGAACGAUCCUUGCUCAGCGGCGCACCUCUGACUUCGCUUGAGCCACGAUCAACGGCGAAGGGAGAAGAGAGAUCGGAGAAUGGAGAAGAGAGAUCGAGAGAUCUCUGUGUGCGUGUGUGUGUUUGGCAGAAGAGAAAUCGGAGAUCUCUGUGAGUCUGAUCUCUGUGUGUGCGUGUGUUGGACUUGGAUCCGAUGUCAACCUGUGGAGCUCUCUGUGUGAGUGUGUGUGUGGGAGAAGAGAAGGGAGAAGAGAGAUCGAGAAGGAUGAUCGAGAGAGAGAGAGACUGAGGAGCUCUCUGUGUGAGUGUGUGUGUGGAAGAAGAGAAGGGAGAAGAGAGAACGAGAAGGAUCGAGAGAGAGAGAGACUGAGGUUGUCUGCGUGCGUGCGAUGUGUCUUUUGAGUGUGUGGGUUCCUCCUGUCAGGAGGAUACAACUCACUCAAUAAUCCCUGACAGUUUUACAAUUAUUUGACAUGAGACAAUUAUAAUUUGUAUUCUUUUCAGACCAUUGAAUGGUGGUCAUUUGUGUUGUUGUGUGUGGUUCCUCCUGUCAGGAGGACACAUGACUCACUCCAUAUUCUCGACAACACGAACAAUUAUUUGGACAAUUUCAUGCAGCUUUUACUAUUAUGGACCACCACCUCCCGGAUAUAUGAGCCCCUUCACUGGUGAGGCAAACUUCACGCAUGCAACACAAGAUGAUGACCAUGGCAGUAGGCGGGCAGGACCAGGAAUUGGUGCCAUAGGGAAGGAUGAUCGGAUCAUAUUUAUAUAUAUUUUUACUUCGAAUUCACUCGUCUUUUCUUAGUUAGUUCCUUAUAUUUU
rnacentral:lncRNA from 1 species